UUAAAACAGUACUAUUCAGCUUCUCCCUUAAAACAUAUGAAUAGAUCGUUCUCUGUAAUAAUUAACAAAAUUAAUUAGCCCUAAUUUGCAUCUCUCAAAUUACUCUUCUCGAUUCACUGUACGUGCACAAUUCUCUCAUCUAUUCGCUGUGACGUUCUCAAAUUGAUACUCGAUUUCCUUCGUACAAGUCCUAUUUUGUCGGAGUUAGACUUGUAAAAGUAUUGAGGCUGAUAUGAUUAAUUGAAGUCCCUUCAAAUAGAAACUGCAUUUGCCUACCUUUUUGCAUCCGCCUCUGAAAAUCUGAAGGUCCAUGAUUUUGAAGAGGCUUGUGGUGUUGGUGUUGAGGUAUCCAAGGAAGACAUUGAACGUGCUGUGAGUGAGGUCUUUGAAGAGAAGAGGGCCAAUAUAUUAGAACAACGUUAUAAAACCAAUGUUGGUGAACUCUUUGGUCAUGUUCGAAAGAAGUUGCCGUGGGCAGAUUCAAAUGUUGUCAAGGAAGUAGUAGAUCUCGAGCUGUAUAAAUUACUCGGGGAAAGAACUACAGCAGAUAAUGAAAAACCUGUUAAAAAUAAGAAAGAGAAGCCUGUGAAAACUGAGGAUAAAGCUAAAGUUGAGGAGACCUCUGCAGCAAAGUAGUCUGAGGAAGAACUAAAUCCAUACUUGAUCUUCCCUUCACCUGAGGAAAAUUAUAAGGUGCAUACAGAAGUAUAUUUCAGUGACCGUUCAGUGCUUCGAGCGUGCAGUUCCAAAGAUCUACUUGAAAAGCAUAUGAAAGCGACUGGAGGAAAAGUUCAGAUGUGCUUUCCUCCUAAACCUAAUGGAUUUUUAUACAUUGGACAUGCAAAGGCUAUGUUUGUUGACUUUGGUCUGACAAAAGAAAGAGGUGGUGGCUGUUACCUGAGGUUUGAUGAUACCAACCCUAAAGUUGAGAAGAAAGAGUACAUUGAUCACAUUAAAGAAAUUGUUGGGUGGAUGGGAUGGAAGCCUUUCAAGGUACAAGUUGUAGUAUGUACAGUCAGAAUCAGACAGCUGCAGAUUCCAGCCAGUAGAUGAUAAGUCCUCUUACUUAGGGGACUUCAGUUAGAUGUUAUUUAUGUACUUUACUUUCUUACUCAUAUGUAUUUAUUAGUGGUAGUUGGAGUCGCGUCUCAGCUAUCUAUAGUCAGUAAAGUAGAGGCUUCAUAGAUGUCAGUUAGAGUCAGUCAUGUAAUUUUAGUCCCUCUUUUCAGACUUUAUCAGAAUGUACACUUGUAUUAGUAUUGUAUUUUUAUAGAUUCCAUCAU